GAUGAACGCUGGCGGCGUGCUUAACACAUGCAAGUCGAACGGAAAGACCAGUUGCUUGCUUGUCGGGUGUUAGACGCGGGCGUGAGAGAUACGAGUGUAUCACGUACUUGUAAGUAUGUGAUCGCAAGGGGAAACAAGAGCUCAUAAGAUCUAAGAUUUUGAACCGCGUAGUUUCAAAGCGAAAGACGGUAUUGCUGCCGCUUGUAGAUGGGUCAGCGGUGGAUUAGCUAGUUGGUAAGGUAAAGGCUUACCAAGGCGACGAUGCGUAGCCGACCUGAGAGGGGGACCGGCCACACUGGAACUGAGACACGGUCCAGACUCCUACGGGAGGCAGCAGUAGGGAAUCUUCGGCAAUGGGCGAAAGCCUGACGGAGCAACGCCGCGUGAGUGAUGAAGGUCUUCGGGUCGUAAAACUCUGUUGUAAGGGAAGAACAGAUGUGUAAGUAACCGUGCAGGUCUUGACGGUACCGAAUCAGAAAGCCACGGCUAACUACGUG
rnacentral:rRNA from 1 species